UACAGAGGUCUCAAGCGUUGUUCGGAUUCAUUGGGCGUAAAGGGUGCGUAGGUGGCGCCGUAAGUCAGGUGUGAAAUUUCGGAGCUUAACUCCGAAACUGCAUUCGAUACUGCCGUGCUUGAGGACUGGAGAGGAGACUGGAAUUUACGGUGUAGCGGUGAAAUGCGUAGAUAUCGUAAGGAAGGCCAGUGGCGAAGGCGGGUCUCUGGACAGUUCCUGACGCUGAGGCACGAAGGUCAGGGGAGCAAACGGG
rnacentral:rRNA from 1 species